rnacentral:rRNA from 1 species
UGCGUAGGUGGGCAGGUAAGUCAGUGGUGAAAUCUCCGGGCUUAACUCGGAAACUGCCAUUGAUACUAUCUGUCUUGAAUACCGUGGAGGUCAGCGGAAUAUGUCAUGUAGCGGUGAAAUGCUUAGAUAUGACAUAGAACACCAAUUGCGAAGGCAGCUGGCUACACGAAUAUUGACACUGAUGCACGAAAGCUGGGGAUCAAACA